UGAAGACAUAGAGUCCACUCCUCAGCCAAGAAGGAUCGCUUCCCAGCGACUUCUUUCUGCAAUGGAUGACUUGUUUAUCUGCAGCUCAUUGAAAGUAUUUCCUCUAACAUCCAUGUCAUUCUGGAUGAUGAAAAGAAUUUCAGGUGAUGGACGCCAUGUUUUCUGGCAGCUUCCACAUCCUUCAAGAGUUUGCCUUUCCUGACAUCUUCAGCAGUCAGCACUGAUCUAAGGGGCUCUUCUCUAUUAGGUGGCAUCUCACAUAUGUUCACACUCCAACAACUGCAGGAUGCAUGUACUUUGGACCCAACAGACAUUCUUUCAGUAUCACCUGAAGACCUCAUCCCUUGAAUUGGUGCUUUGAUGUCCUAAAGAGACCAGCUGUCCACCAUCAUGUAGCAACACCUCCAAUGCUGCAUCUGUCGAACUUGGACUAUGUUCCUGAAUUUGCAACUGCACUGUGGUUCCACUUGACUCCUGUUGAUUUAGCGAAGCAAAACUUUAGAUCAUUGCUCAUUCUCAAGCACUUACAGCAGUAGAGAAAGUUGCCUGUCUGUUGUGCAGGAAUGCACUAUGAGAAUGGCAAAGUCUGUUAAGACAUUCUGUAAGGAAAACACAUCUGCUGUAAAUUGGCUGUACUUGUCACAGAAAACUGCAUCAGCACACAACAUUUGUUUUGUGCUGCCUUAUAGUGAAGAUGAUGUCCAGAUUCUAUAAUGAUUAUAAAUUCUUGGCAUGCUUGUGGGAUGCAAUCAAUGUGAAAAACAUGUUCACAGGUCAAUUCCUUUAAUUGGCUUUUCAAUUUCAGUUUCACAUUUGCUUUUAUCAUCAAUUCCAACAGCAAUUAUUUCUGUGUGAACAACUGCCCAUUUCCUGCUCCCUUUAGGUGUUUAAUAGUCAUUGCUAUUGUUCAAACUUGAACAGAUAAAUGACUACAAUUUUCACUUUGAAGAGGGAAUUUCCCUAUUGUUACAUGUUGCUAUUUCAUAAGGAUGAUAUAAAAUGGGAAGGAACAUUUCCAUUUGGCUUGUGCCGGUAGUUUUACAGAGCCAUGAGUGGUGGGUAUCAUCCCAUUUGUACUGUACGCCGCAAAUACACAUUCCCACACCGCUGCAAGAGUUCUUCACAUAAAAUACUUACGUAAUUUCCAAUUAUUUGAAAGCACUAGCAGGAACAACCACCUCUUCAUUUUUGAAAAUUUUCAGAUAAGACCUUUUAAACGCAUCUUGACACAACAUUGGAGCUAUAAGGUUAAGGAGGAAACACAAAUUGUACGCAAGCAUGCAGAUUCUCAAAAUGCAAUUCUGGGAGCUCUGCCUGCUUUUAGAAGCUCACAGAUACUUCCACCUUUACAUCACAAUGAAAUGGAAACUGAUUUGCAGUGAUGUAAAAUCACCCUAAGGUGGCUUAUGCUCUAUAUGGCCAGUCAAAAUACUGUACAUUCAAAUAAUUUAAUUACAUUUACAUAAACUGGGAUAUGUUAUUUUGAAUUGAAUAUAAACAAUUCUACAUUCAAACAAUACACAAGUGUAAGUAGAGGAUACCUCAACAGUGAGUGAUCACAAUAUAUCUAUGUUAACAGAUGUUUUGUUGAAAUUGUGUUUUACAUUGCUAAGGAUUUCUGCAAAGUGCAAAUUAAAUGUGGUUGUAAAAUACGGACAGUUUUAGUUACAUAGUUGUUCAAUUUAAAUGGAAAGCAAAACUAUGUUUUACAAAAAGGUGAAUGGACAUCCAGUUAUACCUAAGAUGGAUUAAAGUGGUGAAAAAACCCAUGGAAGUAGAAUUUAUGUUAUUUCCCCCAUGGUAUCAGCUCUGAAAUAUUAACAAGGUAAUGAUUGAUUUUUCCCACUCCUGUAUCAGCCUGAGGAGGGAGAGUAUUGAUUUUCAUUUUAAGCAAUUGAGUGUGCUACUUGUUUAAGAACAGGAUGUG